rnacentral:tRNA from 1 species
GGCUUCGUAGCUCAGUGGAUAGAGCAACCGCCUCCUAAGCGGUAGGUCGUGCGUUCAAGUCGCACCGAGGCCACCA